AAUGACAGAUAGUACUCCAGUGCUGGAAUGCAGCGAGUAUGAAAUGCUCCGGCGCCAUAGGAUGUGACUGCGGCCGAUUAGGUAGACGGUGGGGUAACGGCCCACCGUGCCGAUAAUCGGUACGGGUGGUGAGAGCCAGAGCCCGGAGAUGGAAUCUGAGACAAGAUUCCAGGCCCUACGGGGCGCAGCAGGCGCGAAAACUUUACAAUGCGCGCAAGCGCGAUAAGGGGACCCCGAGUGCGAGGGCGUAAAGUUCUCGCUUUUGUAUAUCGUAAGAAGAUAUACGAAUAAGGGCUGGGCAAGACCGGUGCCAGCCGCCGCGGUAAUACCGGCAGCUCGAGUGAUGAUCACUAUUAUUGGGCCUAAAGCGUCCGUAGCCGGUCAAACAAGUCCUUCGGUAAAUCCACCCGCUUAACGGGUGGGCUCUCGAGGGAAACUGCUUGACUUGGGGCCGGGAGAUCUGAGGGGUACGUCUGGGGUAGGGGUGAAAUCCUGUAAUCCUAGACGGACCAUCGGUGGCGAAAGCGCCUCAGAAGAACGGACCCGACGGUCAGGGACGAAAGCUAGGGUCUCGAACCGGAUUAGAUACCCGGGUAGUCCUAGCCGUAAACGAUGCUC
rnacentral:rRNA from 1 species